UACGUAGGGGGCAAGCGUUGUCCGGAUUUACUGGGCGUAAAGAGCGCGCAGGCGGUCGUUCAAGUCGCGUGUGAAAGCCCCCGGCUCAACUGGGGAGGGUCACGCGAUACUGAUCGACUCGAAGGCAGGAGAGGGUAGUGGAAUUCCCGGUGUAGUGGUGAAAUGCGUAGAUAUCGGGAGGAACACCAGUGGCGAAGGCGACUACCUGGCCUGUUCUUGACGCUGAGACGCGAAAGCUAGGGGAGCAAACGGG
rnacentral:rRNA from 1 species